rnacentral:lncRNA from 1 species
ACAGUUGUUGGUUUAGGUUGGAGACCAAAAUUCAGUCAUCCUGUAAUAUAGAUCUUGUUCCUUUUGGGUUUACCACUAGGGGUCACUAAAGAGAGAUGGGAGACAGUCUCAAUCUUGUCUAAAUAAUUCCAAAAUAGCCAUGGGCUUUGGACAAAAUACAAGGUUAGUGUCUCUCUAACUUUAAUGGGCAUAUGAAUAACCUGGUGGUUUUGUGGAGAUUCUGAUCCAGUAGGUCUUGGGCGAGGCCUCAGAGUCUACAUUUCUAUCAAUAGAGCAAGAAAACCCUUACGGUUUAUGUGCCAAACCUGCGUUUUACUGAUGAAGAAAUGCAGAUCCAGAAUCACCAGGGAAUUUUAGAUAAACUUCCUAGCUAAUUCUCAGGCAUAGUAAACCCUCAGAAACUUGUCCUACAGUUUGUCUGAGCC